GACGAACGCUGGCGGCGUGCUUAACACAUGCAAGUCGAACGGAAAGGCCCUGCUUUUGUGGGGUGCUCGAGUGGCGAACGGGUGAGUAACACGUGAGUAACCUGCCCUUGACUUUGGGAUAACUUCAGGAAACUGGGGCUAAUACCGGAUAGGAGCUCCUGCUGCAUGGUGGGGGUUGGAAAGUUUCGGCGGUUGGGGAUGGACUCGCGGCUUAUCAGCUUGUUGGUGGGGUAGUGGCUUACCAAGGCUUUGACGGGUAGCCGGCCUGAGAGGGUGACCGGCCACAUGGGGACUGAGAUACGGCCCAGACUCCUACGGGAGGCAGCAGUGGGGAAUAUUGCACAAUGGGCGGAAGCCUGAUGCAGCAACGCCGCGUGCGGGAUGACGGCCUUCGGGUUGUAAACCGCUUUCGCCUGUGACGAAGCGUGAGUGGCGGUAAUGGGUAAAGAAGCACCGGCUAACUACGUG
rnacentral:rRNA from 1 species